UACGAAGGGUGCAAGCGUUAAUCGGAAUUACUGGGCGUAAAGCGCGCGUAGGUGGUUCAGUAAGUUGAAGGUGAAAUCCCCGGGCUCAACCUGGGAACUGCCUCCAAAACUGCUGAGCUAGAGUAUGGUAGAGGGUAGUGGAAUUUCCUGUGUAGCGGUGAAAUGCGUAGAUAUAGGAAGGAACACCAGUGGCGAGGGCGACUACCUGGACUAAUACUGACACUGAGGUGCGAAAGCGUGGGGAGCAAACAGG
rnacentral:rRNA from 1 species